CAAGAAACCCAUUAAGCACAAUCGCCAUAAUCAUACUAACCGCGGCCAAAGUCGCGAUCGCAUCAAAAUGGAAACACAAUGUGCCCCCAACUCAGGAGGAAGUAACACGCAGAGUAGACAGUAUAUGCAUAUAUGAACAGAUGGCACACAAAAUACAGGGAACAUCUGAGAAACACAACACCUACUGGAGAGGAUGGCUGGACGCCCGGAAAGAGA